AUGCUGGCUUAUCAAGCCACCUCCCCAGACCCUCUCCUUCGUUCUGACUGUGGUUACAGAAUGGAUGUAGAAGUUCAGCAGCAAAUGGGAAACUGCCAGAAACACCGAGCAGGCCUUUUCCGCAUGGAAUUUUGCUUUGCCUCUCCAACUGCCAUCGCAUCACUGCCGGUUCUGGGUCAGACGUUGGUGCCUGAGCUCCCCAGGCAGAGGGCACAGCGAGUGUUCCCCACAGCCCCGUGCUCCCAGCCUGGGAGCUUCACGUUUCUCUGCUUUUCUGUCUGCAAAACGGGGCAGCAGGACUCCAUCAUUCUCCAGAAGGCUCUGCAGCUGCUCCAGGCUGGGAACGCCGGCCCGCUUCCAUCCAUGUGCUGCAGGAGGUGGGGUCCUGGCCACGCUGAUGUGACUAAAGAUUGUCAUAGCACAUGUAAGUAAGAGGGCUGCUCUGCAAGCUUGGUUGUCUGUUGUGGUACUGUAUUUGCGUGCAUCACCACAGCGUGUGUUUGACGCAGGCAGCACAGUGUCCAUUCUUUGCGAGCAUCCCAGCCCUUGCAGCAUCAAUCACAAGAUGAUGGGAGUUUGCCCUGGGAGCUUGUGUACCACAGCACAAACUUCUGCCCGAUAGCAGCAGCAGGCCGGUGGCUGCGCGAGGCAGGGAGGAGGCACAGCCCCUGGAAGCCGUGUUCCAGGGCACAGCCAAGAAUGAGUCUGUGACCUCCUGGAGGCAAAGCCCAGCCAGGUGAUGGGAAUUCUGCAUCAGGCAGUGCUGCAAGAACCUCUUCCCGCGGCACAUGUCCCUGGAAGAGUAAAUUAUCAGUAGCUUGAGAAGUAAAUCUAGCUCUCAUGAUGCCCUAGAUCCUACCUCAGAGCUCACUCAUCCGCGCUGGCGGCCGUCCUGAUGGGAGCAAGGGUUCUGUUUGUGUCAGUGCCCUCUCCAAAGUUCAAACUGUGUCUGAAGUGCUGCAGUCCAGGCCUGCCCAUCAAAGCGCUGAGCGCUUCUCGUGCGCUGCCAUAAAUAAGGCAAACCACAAUCAGGAAAUGGCAGAAUGGCUAUUUAUAAACCGGCCCUAUCUGCAAAGAUAUUUGUGAGACCAGCAAAAAAAUCCCCACGUCGCUCUUCCUGACCCCAGUGCCCUCUAUUUGCUUCG
rnacentral:lncRNA from 1 species